rnacentral:misc_RNA from 1 species
CUCUAUGCAAAUUGCACGUGAUUUAUAACGGUGGUUUGAAAGUGUAGUAACGUGUAUAUUCGUUAAAAAAAGUUGUCAAUUGCUUUGGUGCCUAUUCACCUAAGCAACUUUUAUACAUUCUGACACACUUCGUGUACAACCGAUUUGAAAGAACAUCGUAGAUAUUUCGUGCGCGACGAUCGGCAAACUAUCAACGAUUUCCUAUCUACUUCCGUUUCGCAAGAAAGACGUUAGACCAACGGAGGUUGAGAGAGAGAGAGAGAGAGAGAGAGAGAGAGAGAGAGAAAGAGAGAGACGUCUAGAGAGAGAGAGAGUGAGAGAGAGCGGGAGGGGGAGAGAGGAAAGAAAAGAAAGAACCGACUAGGAGAUGAAGAGGAAGCAGUUUAAGUUGGCGAGAGUGUUAGUGAAAAGGCGGACAUUAAGGCGUCAGACCACGUCUUGUAUGCAUCCCUAGGGCCGUGGAUGAGGUAUCGUCAAAAAAGGAGGGCGGCACCUGUAAAUCAGUGUAAUCGGUGACCUGCCCUGGGAGUACAUUAGAAUAAUUUAUGGUCGGGCCCGCUAAGACGUAAAAAGACGUUGUGUUAUCCGCCACCGUUUCUCUCACUCCUC